UUGGUUGUGGAUGUUUGACCUAUGUAUUGUUACAUGUUGCUGUUGUUUCUGUUUGAUUGAUCAAGCUGAAUGAUGAGCCAUUGUUGUUGUUUGUUUUGUUUGGUCAAAUGAUGAAAUGCUCUGCUGUUGUACUUAAAUCAUCAACUUGCCAAGAAUUCUGCAUGAGCUAAUGAUGUUGGUUUGUUGUUAUGUUGUGGUUGUACGAAGAGCUUUGUUGAAAUGCUAUGCUGAUGUAAUUACUGGUCGAGUUUGUUG
rnacentral:lncRNA from 1 species